AACGAACGCUGGCGGCAUGCCUAACACAUGCAAGUCGAACGAGACCUUCGGGUCUAGUGGCGCACGGGUGCGUAACGCGUGGGAACCCGCCUUUAGGUUCGGAAUAACACAGAGAAAUUUGAGCUAAUACCGGAUAAUGUCUUCGGACCAAAGAUUUAUCGCCUUUAGAUGGGCCCGCGUUGGAUUAGCUAGUUGGUGGGGUAAAGGCCUACCAAGGCGACGAUCCAUAGCUGGUCUGAGAGGAUGAUCAGCCACACUGGGACUGAGACACGGCCCAGACUCCUACGGGAGGCAGCAGUGGGGAAUUUGGACAAUGGGCGCAAGCCUGAUCCAGCAAUGCCGCGUGCAGGAUGAAGGCCUCGGUUGUAACUAGCUUUGUACGGUAACGAAACGGUAGAG
rnacentral:rRNA from 1 species